GGUUGAGGGACUGAUGUCAAAACAAUGACAUGCCUACACCUCAGUAGGUGGAGCUAGAUGUGGUGAGAUACAGUUUAGACAGUUUUACAGAGAUACUGACAUUUAUAUCUACUGCAAGAGACACACAGAACAAUAAUGUUAUUCUUCUUUGUAUUGAUAGUUGUCAAAAAUAUUGCAGGUGCUGUUGACAGCAGAAUUACACCAGACCAAACCAUCAUAUCUUCAAGUGAAGGCAGCAACAUCACACUGACCUGCACAUAUGAUCAAUCAGCUUACUAUUUCCACUGGUAUCGACAAAAACCUCAAUCAGAACCAGAGUUUCUGCUGCUGAUUCUUAAAUCCACAGAGAGUGACAUUAGAAUUAAACAUGAGCUUGACCCACGACUAUCCAUUAAACUUCGUAAAAAGGAGAAGAAAGUAGAUCUGGAGAUCUUUCCUGCUGCAAUAUCAGACUCUGCACUGUACUACUGUGCCAUGGAGCCCACAGUGACACAAAACUCUAACAGACUGUACAAAAAGUCAAGACUGAUAUUUGUUUCUCAGCAGGUGGAGCUGUUUACCUGUUUCAUACAAAUAGAGUCAUUUACUAGUUCCUAUAUUUUGAUCAUCUUCUUACCCAAAUUGAUAAUUGUUUGA